rnacentral:rRNA from 1 species
AUUGAACGCUGGCGGCAUGCCUUACACAUGCAAGUCGAACGGUAACAGGUCUUCGGCUGCUGACUAGUGGUGAACGGGUGAGUAAUAAAUCGGAAUGUGCCCGAUCGUGCGGGAUCGCGAGGCGUAACGUUUGUCAAUUUACCAUACGACCUAAGGCUGAAAGCGGGUGCUCUCAGGACCUCGCGCGGCCGUAGCGGCCGAUGGCAGAUUAGGUAGUUGGUGGGAGAAAAGCUGAUCAAGCCGACGAUCUGUAGCUGGUCUGAGAGGGUGAUCAGCCACACUGGUACUGAGACACGGCCCAGACUCCUACGGGAGGCAGCAGUGGGGAAUAUUGGACAAUGGGCGAAAGCCUGAUCCAGCCAUGCCGCGUGCAGGAUGAAGGCCUUCGGGUUGUAAACUGCUUUUGUAGGGAACGAAAAGCCUCUUCCUAAUAAAGAGCGGUCAUGACGGUACCGUAAGAAUAAGCACCGGCUAACUACGUG